CCUCCUUUCUAGAGAAAGACGACUAAAGUUUCUUAAACUAUCUAAUCAUAUAGUUUAUUCUCAACGCUGUUAAUUAUAAUCAUAUAAAGUGGAGUCUCAUAGCUCAGCUGGUUAGAGCGCUACACUGAUAAUGUAGAGGUCGGCAGUUCAAGUCUGCCUGAGACUACUACGUUUAGUUUAUUACUAAAUAAAAUGAGGAUUUUAGUAGCUGAGAUUGAUUCUGAAAACUCAUUAUAUUGGGGGAUUAGCUCAGCUGGCUAGAGCGCUAGAUUUGCAUUCUAGAGGUCGUGGGUUCGACUCCCACAUUCUCCACAAUCAGCUUUUUGCUGAAAACGUUCUUUGACAUAUUGAAAAAAAUACAUGAAAUUAAAAAUUUCAAAUAAUCUAAAUUUAAUUAAUUAAUUAAUUGAGUUUACGAGCAAUAUAAUUUAUAACUCAUAAAAAUACAAAAGUUACAAUAAGCUAUUUAAGAGCGUAAGGUGGAUGCCUUGGC
rnacentral:tRNA from 1 species